UACGUAGGGUGCGAGCGUUAAUCGGAAUUACUGGGCGUAAAGCGUGCGCAGGCGGUUUUGUAAGGCAGAUGGGAAAUCCCCGGGCUUAACCUGGGAAUGGCAUUUGGGACUGCAAGGCUUGAGUGCGGCAGAGGAGACUGGAAUUCCUGGUGUAGCAGUGAAAUGCGUAGAUAUCGUCAGGAACGCCAAUGGUGAAGACAGGUGACUGGGCUAGUUCUGACACUGAGGCACGAAAGCGUGGGGAGCGAACGGG
rnacentral:rRNA from 1 species